GGAGUUGAGUCGGAAUCUGCGGUUUGUGACAGAAAGAGGAGGGAGAACCGCGGAGAAAAUGAGGAAGAAGAGAACGAAAUGAGGGAGAAUAAGAAGGGUGGGUUUAUAUAUUAAAAAUAAACCGACAGACAGUUUCCGUCGGAAUUUCGUCGGAAUUUAGUUGGUACUUUCGACGGAAUUCCGACUUGGUACUUUCGACGAAAUUCCGACGGAUCCGAGAAAUAUGACUUUGGAGGUUUGAAAACAACAAUGUUAUGAGCACAUACAAAUCUUUGAUAGUAUGUAAAUGAUUUACAAGAAGUUUAACUGAAAUAUUUAAUUGUUUCACACACUGUAAAAUGUUCAUCGGAAUUUCGUCGGACGUGCGUCGGAUUUCUAAAACGGUCAAAUUUCUCUGUCGGAAUCCGAACGGUCAAAAUGGCCGUCGGAAUAUUUUUGUCGGUAAUCCAUCGGAGCUCUUAAUGGUCAAAAUAUCCGUCGGAAUUUCGUCGGAUAUUUCUGACGACCCUAUAUUCGUCGAUUUGGCGUCGGAAAUUUCCGACGAAAAACCGACGAACACACAAAUAUAUGGUUCGUCGGUUUCUCGUCGGAAUUUCGUCAGAAGAAACCGACGAAAGUGGCGUCCGUCAGAAUGGCCGUUGGAUUGUAGUGUGUUUUCUUGUAGUGUCCCUUUACUUUCCUUUUCAGAAUCUUCCACUAUAUCCCGUGAAAUUCAUCACUCUAAUAGUCUCAAUCUUGAGCUUCCUAAAACAAUAGCCAGGUCUAUCCUUAUCCUUUCCACAUCACAAUUAUAUGCCCGUCAAUGUUUCCUAAAGCUCUAGAUCUAUCGUCGCGACCUCUCCUAUCGUUUUCUUCAGCGACGUCUUUUCAGGAGUAAGCGCAGAGAAGAUGAGAAAUCAUCUCUUUCCAAAGGUCAUCAAUGUUGAUAUAUGAUUUCAGCCUCGAAGAACAAAGAUUUAUCAUCUUCCUUUGAUUUUUCUUUUCUUCUACUUUCAGUGAUUUCCAUACCUCCUCAUUUGUUAAGCAAAUUUAUGAUUUUUCGUAGCCCAUUAUUGGCCUUUUAUAUGCAUGAUCAAUCUGGACUAAUGGGUUUACUGGUAAGCUAUCUUACCUUCCCUUUUAUUUUCAGUGUAAAGAAACAAAGCUGAACCUGUUGAUUCAGAGUUAAACAUGUAUAUGUGUGUGAAAUUUUGAUUUGAUGGUCGCUGGAUGGGAGGUGAUUGGGGAUAUCAGCUUUCUCAGAGGAAGACAACAUAUUCUGAAGGUGCUGAUUACAGAGUUAAGGAAGACAAAAAUAUUCUCACUCGCUUUCUCUAACGAUUGUCUUUUCUAAACCCCCAAAAUCAUGUUUGAGAAUUUCUGCUUCCAUCCCAGUGUGGAUGUCUAUGACAAUAUUUGCUUUGAUAUUCUUCAGGUAUAAAACAAUCAUUUUGCUUCUACUACUACUUGUGUUUAACUAGUUAAUCUCAAGCUACCAUAUAUCAAAGAAGCUAUAUAACUUUAAAGGAAACAGAAAAAAAUGUUUUACAUUUUUUGUAUGAUAAAUGGUCAUCCGUUUGAUGCAUAAAUGUUCUACUUGAGGCAUGUAUGCACAAAGUGACAGAAGAGUCGGCAAAACGUGGAGCCGUUUGGUCUGAAAAGUGGCCAGAGUAGAGAUUGUUCAUCAGUGGUUGGAUUCUAAGGAAGACACAUAUGGAAAUCAGCACAAGAGGAUUUCACAGCAGACAUGAAUGUUGAGAAACUAUUGUUUCAGAGUCAUACUUCAAGGGUGUAGGAAUUGAGUGGUGGUAUGUGAGAAACGUUAUGGAUUGAGAGCUGUAUAUGGAGGGUAAGUACUGAAAAAAAAUCUUUCACCAAUACAAAAUUGGCUCCAUUUAUCUAUUACUAAAUGAUAUAUCUCUCUUUCUGGCUUUCAGUUAUAUUGCUGCAUUGAAGAAUCUGAGACUCUGUGUGAUUAAUGUACUUUCCUCAAACUUACGACCUUCAUGAUGAUUCAUCUAUUCUCUGCACUGAAGAAGAGGUGCAGCUUGGUGUCUGUAAUGGCUGAAGUGAACCGAAUUCUUAGACCACAAGGAACAUUUAUAGUAAGUGAUGACAUGGAAAAGAUAGGAGAAAUUCAGAAGAUGGUGGAAUCAUUGAAAUGAAAUGUAAUAAUGACACAUUCCAGAUAUGGAGAAGGAGUGAUGAUCUCUGUUCAGAAGUCAUGGUAGCGUCCUACAGAGGUCGAGACCAUUACAUCGGCGAUAGCAAGUGAAAGAGAAUUGGUUUAAUAAAGUUUUAUGAGAAUGUUUCUUUUAUGAUCACGUUGAUUGUUUACAUUGUACUAGUAUAAGACAUGCGCCUUGCGCAUGGUGAGUUUAUUUGUAUAUAUUAUCGAUAGUUUCUUUUA